rnacentral:misc_RNA from 1 species
GAAGUCCUAAACCAUAACCUCAAAUAAAAAUUAUAGAAAACGAUUCUACAUAAUUUUUCACGUCAAACUAUUUCAACAUUGAGCUCCUUCAACUUAUGCAACACUAGAGGUAUCCAAAUCUAUUUCAAGCAAAAUAAAUUGCUUCAAACUUAACAUUUGCUGCUAUAAACACAACAAAAGUCAAUUCUUUCAACUCCAUUUAAUUUUGCUCAUCAACCUAAAAACCCAUGAGGCUCAACCAAAUGAUACAUAACAAAUUGAAUGUUUUGUCUACACUUUCAACCAAAUGAAAAUAAAGUAACUAAUUUUCCUCAAUUUGCAAGACCAAACAAAGCAAAUAUAGGCUGUCGCUAUCUCAUUAGCAAUAAGGUAACUUUAAUAUAAAAUUAGACCCAUUUCUUAUUAAAAUCUAAAAUCAAAUCUAAAUGCAACAUAAAUGGCAUCAACAGUAACCGAUUCAUUAAAGAAACAAUAAAAACAAAAAUGAAACCCAGAUCCCAAAGAAACUUUC